CCCUUAGAUGUCCUGGGCCGCAUGCGCGCUACACUGAGUGUCUGAGAUACGAGUCUGCCUGGUCCGGCAAGGUCUAGGUAAUCGCUAAAAGACACAUCAUGCUUGGGAUAGAUUAUUGCAAAUAUUAAUCUUGAACGAGGAAUUCCUAGUAAGCGCAAGUCAACAGCUUGCGUUGAUUACGUCCCUGCCCUUUGUACACACCGCCCGUCGCUACUACUGAUUGGAUGUUUAAGCGAGGUUCUCGAACUGCUAGCGACUUAGCUUCGGUGAGGUCGCAGUGUGGGAAGUGAACCUAGCUUUGGUGUCUAGAGGAAGUAAAAGUCGUAACA
rnacentral:rRNA from 1 species